UACGAAGGGUGCAAGCGUUACUCGGAAUUACUGGGCGUAAAGCGUGCGUAGGUGGUUUCUUAAGUCUGCUGUGAAAGCCCCGGGCUCAACCUGGGAAUUGCAGUGGAUACUGGGAAGCUAGAGUGCGGUAGAGGGUAGUGGAAUUCCCGGGUAGUAGCGGUGAAAUGCGUAGAGAUCGGGAGGAACACCAGUGGCGAAGGCGGCUACCUGGACCAGCACUGACACUGAGGCACGAAAGCGUGGGGGAGCAAACAGG
rnacentral:rRNA from 1 species